rnacentral:rRNA from 1 species
UACGUAGGGUGCAAGCGUUGUCCGGAAUUAUUGGGCGUAAAGAGCUCGUAGGCGGUCUGUCGCGUCUGCUGUGAAAACUCGGGGCUUAACUCCGGGCCUGCAGUGGGUACGGGCAGACUAGAGUGCGGUAGGGGAGACUGGAAUUCCUGGUGUAGCGGUGAAAUGCGCAGAUAUCAGGAGGAACACCGGUGGCGAAGGCGGGACUCUGGGCCGAUACUGACGCUGAGGAGCGAAAGCGUGGGGAGCAAACAGG